rnacentral:rRNA from 1 species
CCUACGGGCGGCAGCAGUGGGGAAUAUUGCGCAAUGGGCGAAAGCCUGACGCAGCGACGCCGCGUGAGGGAUGAAGGUCUUCGGAUCGUAAACCUCUGUCAGCAGGGAAGAACGGUCACUGUGCUAAUCAGCAGUGCAUUGACGGUACCUGCAAAGGAAGCACCGGCUAACUCCGUGCCAGCAGCCGCGGUAAUACGGAGGGUGCGAGCGUUAAUCGGAAUUACUGGGCGUAAAGCGCUCGUAGGCGGUAUGUCAAGUCAAGGGUGAAAUCCCCGCGCUAAACGUGGGAACUGCCUUUGGGACUGGCAAACUGGAGUGUGUGAGAGGGUAGUGGAAUUCCAGGUGUAGGAGUGAAAUCCGUAGAUAUCUGGAGGAACAUCAGUGGCGAAGGCGACUAUCUGGCACAUAACUGACGCUGAGGAGCGAAAGCGUGGGUAGCAAACAGGAUUAGAUACCCGUGUAGUC